UACGUAGGGGGCAAGCGUUGUCCGGAAUCAUUGGGCGUAAAGCGCGUGUAGGCGGCCCGAUAAGUCCGCUGUGAAAGUCGGGGGCUCAACCCUCGAAUGCCGGUGGAUACUGUCGGGCUAGAGUGCGGAAGAGGCGAGUGGAAUUCCUGGUGUAGCGGUGAAAUGCGCAGAUAUCAGGAGGAACACCAAUUGCGAAGGCAGCUCGCUGGGACGUGACUGACGCUGAGACGCGAAAGCGUGGGGAGCAAACAGG
rnacentral:rRNA from 1 species